rnacentral:SRP_RNA from 1 species
GCCGGGUGUGGUGGUGCACACCUGUAAUCCCAGCUACUCAGGAGGCUGAGGCAGGAGAAUUGCUUGAACCCGGGAGGCAGAGGUUGCAGUGAGCCGAGAUCACACCACUGCACUCCAGCCUGGGCAACAGAGCGAGACUCCGUCUCAA